rnacentral:rRNA from 1 species
GACGAACGCUGGCGGCGUGCUUAACACAUGCCAGUCGAACGGAAAGGCCCUGCUUUUGUGGGGUGCUCGAGUGGCGAACGGGUGAGUAACACGUGAGUAACCUGCCCUUGACUUUGGGAUAACUUCAGGAAACUGGGGCUAAUACCGGAUAGGAGCUCCUGCUGCAUGGUGGGGGUUGGAAAGUUUCGGCGGUUGGGGAUGGACUCGAGGCUUAUCAGCUUGUUGGUGGGGUAGUGGCUUACCAAGGCUUUGACGGGUAGCCGGCCUGAGAGGGUGACCGGCCACAUUGGGACUGAGAUACGGCCCAGACUCCUACGGGAGGCAGCAGUGGGGAAUAUUGCACAAUGGGCGGAAGCCUGAUGCAGCAACGCCGCGUGCGGGAUGACGGCCUUCGGGUUGUAAACCGCUUUCGCCUGUGACGAAGCGUGAGUGACGGUAAUGGGUAAAGAAGCACCGGCUAACUACGUG